ensembl:lncRNA
AUGAUUACAAAGAGAUGGCCUACGAGCGCAAUCAGAAGAGAGUUCAGGGUGGGACUGGGAAGUCUUCCUCCACCAGACCAUGUGGAGAACUCCUUGAACAGAAGGAAGAACCAGCCAGAGACGCCACUUCUCUCUGAGAGCAGGUUUCUUCUGCGGAGGUACGCAUCGGGCCNNNNNNGGCCCAUGAGAUUGACACAGGAUCCUAUCCAGGUUUUGCUCAUCUUUGCAAAGGAAGAUAGUCAGAGUGAUGGAUUCUGGUGGGCCUGUGACAGAGCCGGUUACAGCUGCAAUAUUGCUCGGACUCCAGAGUCAGCCCUGGAAUGCUUUCUAGAUAAACAUCAUGAGAUUAUUGUAAUCGAUCACAGACAGACUCGAAACUUCGAUGCAGAAGCAGUGUGCAGGUCAAUCCGGGCCACGAACCCCUCGGAGCACGCAGUGAUCCUCGCCGUGGUCUCACAAACAUCCGGCAACUAUGAAGAGGCCUCUGUGCUCCCCCUUCUGCACGCGGGCUUCAACAGGAGAUUUAUGGAGAACAGCAGCAUAAUUGCUUGCUACAAUGAACUGAUUCAAAUAGAACAUGGGGAAGUUCUCUCACAGUUCAAAUUAAGAUACUUCUGUCCAGUCUUCUUGGAUGCUGACCAUAUUUACUUAACCAAGAAAAAAGAUCAUUAUGUCAACCCAGCCUUCGAAAGGAUGAUGGGCUACCACAAAGGUGAACUGCUGGGGAAAGAACUCGCCGAGCUGCCCAAAAGCGACAAAAACCGGGCGGACCUGCUCGACACCAUUAACACCUGCAUCAAGAAGGGCAAGGUGGGUGAAACCAGACCCUCUCAUUCAUUCAGAUACAAGAACAGGAGGAAAGAGUCCGUUGAUGUGAAAUCAAUAUCAUCUCGAGGCAGUGAUGCACCAAGUCUGCAGAACCGUCGCUACCCAUCCAUGGCGCGGAUCCACUCCAUGACCAUCGAGGCGCCCAUCACGAAGGUUAUAAAUAUAAUCAAUGCAGCCCAAGAAAACAGUCCUGUCACAGUGGCAGAAGCCUUGGACAGAGUUUUAGAAAUUUUACGAACUACGGAACUGUACUCCCCUCAGCUGGGUACCAAAGAUGAAGAUCCCCACACCAGUGAUCUCGUGGGCGGGCUGAUGACUGAUGGCUUGAGAAGGCUGUCAGGAAACGAGUACGUGUUCACUAAGAACGUGCACCAGAGUCAUAGUCACCUUGCGAUGCCAGUAACCAUCAAUGAUGUCCCCCCUUCCAUCGCCCAAUUACUUGAUAAUGAGGAAAGCUGGGACUGGGAGUUCAACAUCUUUGAACUGGAAGCUGUGACACACAAAAGGCCAUUGGUUUACCUGGGCUUGAAAGUUUUCUCCCGGUUUGGAGUAUGUGAAUUUCUACACUGUUCUGAAACUACUCUUCGGGCCUGGCUCCAGGUGAUUGAAGCCAACUACCACUCUUCCAAUGCUUACCACAACUCCACUCAUGCCGCUGACGUCCUGCACGCCACAGCCUUCUUCCUCGGCAAGGAGAGAGUGAAGGGAAGCCUCGAUCAGCUGGACGAGGUGGCCGCCCUGAUCGCUGCCACAGUCCACGAUGUGGACCACCCGGGAAGGACCAACUCUUUCCUGUGCAACGCGGGCAGUGAGCUUGCUGUGCUUCACCACACGGCCCUGGCCUUCCAGCUCACGGUCAAGGACAGCAAAUGCAACAUUUUCAAGAAUAUCGACAGGAACCAUUAUCGAACACUGCGCCAAGCUAUUAUUGACAUGGUUUUAGCAACAGAGAUGACAAAACACUUUGAACAUGUGAACAAAUUUGUGAACAGCAUCAACAAGCCAAUGGCAGCUGAGAUUGACGGCAGCGACUGCGAGUGCAGCCCUCCCGGGAAGAACUUCCCUGAGAACCAAACCCUGAUCAAACGCAUGAUGAUCAAGUGUGCGGACGUAGCCAACCCCUGCCGCCCCUUGGACCUGUGCAUUGAAUGGGCUGGCAGGAUCUCUGAGGAGUACUUUGCGCAGACGGAUGAAGAGAAGAGACAGGGGCUGCCCGUAGUGAUGCCAGUGUUUGACCGGAAUACCUGUAGCAUCCCCAAGUCCCAAAUCUCCUUUAUUGACUACUUCAUAACAGACAUGUUUGAUGCUUGGGAUGCCUUUGCACACCUGCCAACGCUGAUGCAACAUUUGGCCGAUAACUACAAACACUGGAAGACGUUAGACGACCUAAAGUGCAAAACUGAUUCACUGUAA